rnacentral:rRNA from 1 species
AGUUGGAAACGACUGCUAAUACCGCAUAAUGUCUACGGACCAAAGGGGGCUUCGGCUCUCGCCUUUAGAUUGGCCCAAGUGGGAUUAGCUAGUUGGUGAGGUAAUGGCUCACCAAGGCGACGAUCCCUAGCUGGUUUGAGAGGAUGAUCAGCCACACUGGGACUGAGACACGGCCCAGACUCCUACGGGAGGCAGCAGUGGGGAAUAUUGCACAAUGGGCGCAAGCCUGAUGCAGCCAUGCCGCGUGUGUGAAGAAGGCCUUCGGGUUGUAAAGCACUUUCAGUCAGGAGGAAAGCGUGGUGGUUAAUACCCGUCAUGUGUGACGUUACUGACAGAAGAAGCACCGGCUAACUCCGUGCCAGCAGCCGCGGUAAUACGGAGGGUGCGAGCGUUAAUCGGAAUUACUGGGCGUAAAGCGUACGCAGGCGGUUUGUUAAGCGAGAUGUGAAAGCCCCGGGCUCAACCUGGGAACUGCAUUUCGAACUG